rnacentral:rRNA from 6 species
UUGGACCUGAUAUCAGGCAAGAUUACCCGCUGAACUUAAGCAUA